GACGAAGGAUGCAAGCGUUAUCCGGAUUCAUUGGGUUUAAAGGGAGCGUAGGUGGCCUUAUAAGUCAGUGGUGAAAUCUCUCAGCUUAACUGAGAAAUUGCCAUUGAUACUGUAGGGCUUGAGUAUAGUUGCCGUUGGCGGAAUAUGACAUGUAGUGGUGAAAUACAUAGAGAUGUCAUAGAACACCGAUUGCGAAGGCAGCUAACGAAACUAUAACUGACACUGAGGCUCGAAAGCGUGGGGAGCAAACAGG
rnacentral:rRNA from 1 species